GCAGUGGGAAACUACAAAACUUGAGUACAGAAGAGGAAAGUGGAACUCCAUGUGUAGCGGUGAAAUGCGUAGAUAUAUGGAAGAACACCAGUGGCGAAGGCGGCUUUCUGGUCUGUUACUGACGCUGAGGCUCGAAAGCAUGGGUAGCGAACAGGAUUAGAUACCCUGGUAGUCCAUGCCGUAAACGAUGAAUACUAGGUGUUGGAGGGUUUCCGCCCUUCAGUGCCGCAGCUUAACGCAUUAAGUAUUCCGCCUGGGGAGUACGACCGCAAGGUUGAAACUCAAAGGAAUUGACGGGGGCCCCGCACAAGUGGUGGAGCAUGUGGUUUAAUUCGGAUGCUACGCGAAGAACCUUACCAGCUCUUGACAUCUUCUGCCAACCCAAGAAGAUUGGGCGUUCCCUUCGGGGACAGAAUGACAGGUGGUGCAUGGUUGUCGUCAGCUCGUGUCGUGAGAUGUUGGGUUAAGUCCCGCAACGAGCGCAACCCUUAUUAUUAGUUGCCAGCAUUUAGUUGGGCACUCUAGUGAGACUGCCGGUGAUAAACCGGAGGAAGGUGGGGACGACGUCAAAUCAUCAUGCCCCUUAUGAGCUGGGCUACACACGUGCCUACAAUGGAUGGUACAACGAGUUCGCGAAACCGCGAGGUCAAGCUAAUCUCUUAAAAGCCAUUCUCAGUUCGGGAUUUGCAGGCUGCAAACUCGCCUGCAUGAAAGUUGGAAUCACUAGUAAUCGUGGGAUCACAUGCCACGGGUGAAUACGUUUCCCGGGCCUUUGUACACACCGCCCGUCACACCAUGAGAGUUUGUAACACCCAAAGACGAUGGGGUAACCUUUUAGGAGCUAGUCUCUAACGUGGGACAGAUGAUUACGGUGAAGUCGUACAGGGUUAACCGU
rnacentral:rRNA from 2 species